CACGUAGUUAGCCGGUGCUUCUUCUGUAGGUACCGUCACGUUAGCUUCGUCCCUACUGAAAGCGGUUUACAACCCGAAGGCCGUCUUCCCGCACGCGGCGUUGCUGCAUCAGGCUUUCGCCCAUUGUGCAAUAUUCCCCACUGCUGCCUCCCGUAGGAGUUUGGGCCGUAUCUCAGUCCCAAUGUGGCCGGUCGCCCUCUCAGGCCGGCUACCCGUCGUCGCCUUGGUGAGCCAUUACCUCACCAACAAGCUGAUAGGCCGCGAGUCCAUCCUUGACCGCCGGAACUUUCCAACCUCGAAGAUGCCUAAGAGGUUCGUAUCCGGUAUUAGCAGCUGUUCCAGCUGUUAUCCCAGAGUCAAGGGCAGGUUACUCACGUGUUACUCACCCGUUCGCCACUCGUGUACCCCCGAAGGGGCCUUACCGUUCGACUUGCAUGUGUUAAGCACGCCGCCAGCGUGUCCUGAGCCAGGAUCAAACUACU
rnacentral:rRNA from 1 species